rnacentral:rRNA from 1 species
AUACGGAGGGGGCUAGCGUUGUUCGGAAUUACUGGGCGUAAAGCGCGCGUAGGCGGUUGUUCAAGUUGGGCGUGAAAGCCCGGGGCUUAACCCCGGAAAUGCGCUCAAAACUGGAUAGCUAGAGUCCGAAAGAGGAGAGUGGAAUUCCCAGUGUAGAGGUGAAAUUCGUAGAUAUUAGGAAGAACACCAGUGGCGAAGGCGGCUCACUGGCUCGAUACUGACGCUGAGGCGCGAAAGCGUGGGGAGCAAACAGAAUUAGAUACCCCGGUAGUCC